UAUGGUAAGUGCCAGCAGCCGCGGUAAAACGUAGGUCACAAGCGUUGUCCGGAAUUACUGGGUGUAAAGGGAGCGCAGGCGGGAAGACAAGUUGGAAGUGAAAUCCAUGGGCUCAACCCAUGAACUGCUUUCAAAACUGUUUUUCUUGAGUAGUGCAGAGGUAGGCGGAAUUCCCGGUGUAGCGGUGGAAUGCGUAGAUAUCGGGAGGAACACCAGUGGCGAAGGCGGCCUACUGGGCACCAACUGACGCUGAGGCUCGAAAGUGUGGGUAGCAAACAGG
rnacentral:rRNA from 1 species